rnacentral:rRNA from 1 species
AUGCAAGUCGAGCGGAUGAGAAGAGCUUGCUCUUCGAUUCAGCGGCGGACGGGUGAGUAAUGCCUAGGAAUCUGCCUGGUAGUGGGGGACAACGUUUCGAAAGGAACGCUAAUACCGCAUACGUCCUACGGGAGGAAGCAGGGGACCUUCGGGCCUUGCGCUAUCAGAUGAGCCUAGGUCGGAUUAGCUAGUUGGUGAGGUAAUGGCUCACCAAGGCGACGAUCCGUAACUGGUCUGAGAGGAUGAUCAGUCACACUGGAACUGAGACACGGUCCAGACUCCUACGGGAGGCAGCAGUGGGGAAUAUUGGACAAUGGGCGAAAGCCUGAUCCAGCCAUGCCGCGUGUGUGAAGAAGGUCUUCGGAUUGUAAAGCACUUUAAGUUGGGAGGAAGGGCAUUAACCUAAUACGUUAGUGUUUUGACGUUACCGACAGAAUAAGCACCGGCUAACUCUGUGCCAGCAGCCGCGGUAAUACAGAGGGUGCAAGCGUUAAUCGGAAUUACUGGGCGUAAAGCGCGCGUAGGUGGUUUGUUAAGUUGGAUGUGAAAGCCCCGGGCUCAACCUGGGAACUGCAUCCAAAACUGGCAAGCUAGAGUACGGUAGAGGGUGGUGGAAUUUCCUGUGUAGCGGUGAAAUGCGUAGAUAUAGGAAGGAACACCAGUGGCGAAGGCGACCACCUGGACUGA